UGCAAAGGGAGAGAGGGCUGGUGGUCCGCCAAACCGCUCUCCGCUCCCGGGCUCCCCGGGAAUCACCGGAACGGGCGGGGCGCUGCACCUCCGUCACAGAUCGGGGGCCGGGGUCACCCGCGUAACCGGCCAUCCCGGGCUCUGGGCUCCCAUCCAGUGUGCAGACUGCUCUCCAGCCGCUGGGCCCUCCUUUCCAUCGGGGUUCCCCUUACGCGUCGGAUUCCGGGGCUCCAAGGGUUGGCUAGGGACCUUCCCUAGUACAUCCACUCCUUACAGUGAACUGUGCGCGCGCUGGCUGGGCGUCCGUGCAGUAACGCAGUAACCGCCCCCUGCACUUCACACCCAGCUCCGUUUCACCGUCGUCCUGCGAGCAUCUCGUGGCCGGAGGACGAAACCCCCCUCCGGAUCCCAGCCCUGAUGUCACAGACACUCACACUCACAAACACUCCUAUGCACGUCGUUCACACACACACACUCAGACACAGUUAUGUAAACUGACACGGAGUAAGUCACAUACUCCCUCACACGCAGACACAGAUCAAAGACACACACAGAUGCACUUUCACACACACACACACGCCCACACACACAAGAAUGCAAGCUGACACACGCUGUGGACACCGUGACCACAGACAUACUCACGCCCAUCGUGCACAUUCACACAGCAAACCUCACCCGGCCACCCACGCGUUGGUUGUGAGUGCGCUUGGCAGAUCAGGUCUGGAGAAGGCGGCGCCAGGCCACCGGAUGAGGACCGUCCAGCCCGCCACCUCGUCCACCCCAGGGCUGUGUCCACUGGCUUCUUCCACGUUGCCCUUCCCUCCUCCCACCCUGAGCCUGGGAAGUGGAGCGGAGCAGCGGGAGACCCUCUGAAGGAGCAUGCAAAGACCAGGGCCGGAUCAGCAAUGGAAUGACACAGCUUGCGUUUCAAAUUGGGGGCAUCAGGUACCGGUUCCUCUGGAGCCAGAGGAAAACCCAGCAUCCUCAGAAACAGCAAAAGUGACAAAAAUUCAUCCUGCCCGCAUUACAACGAAGUACCACAACCGCACUAACAAAUCCAGAAGGAUACAGGACAGAAGACUGUGUUUGGGAGAGAAUGACGUGAAUCAAUACAGAUACAAGAUAAGCCUCUA